rnacentral:rRNA from 1 species
CUGCUGCCUUCCGUAGGAGUCUGGUCCGUGUCUCAGUACCAGUGUGGGGGACCUUCCUCUCAGAACCCCUACGCAUCGUCGGUUAGGUGGGCCGUUACCCCGCCUACUGCCUAAUGCGCCGCAUGCCCAUCCCUGUCCGGCCGAAGCCUUUCCUGCCUCCGGGAUGCCCCGGUGGCAUGUACGCGGGUUUAGCCCGCCUUUCGGCGGGUUGUCCCCCUGACAGGGGCAGGUUGCAUACGUGUUACUCACCCGUGCGCCGGUCGCCGGCGGAGAG